UUGUAUGGUGGGCAUGCGUGGGGCUCCUCUGUGAGCGCCGGGUUUCCCGAUUUAACCGGUCUACCAACCCGCGCAUGGCCGCCACCCGC
rnacentral:antisense_RNA from 1 species